GGUGGAACAGCAUGUGUGAGACCCCUGAGGCAGGCAGGGGACAGCCAACUGAGUGAGGAGAGGUCUGAGCAGCGUGGGAACGCGGACGUUUGCUGAAGGUACAGAUGCUCCGUGAGGUCACCGAGGCCAGGUCACAGGAGCCCCUGGACCACGCGCAUAAUGUGGAUUUUUGUCUGUGUGGUGGCGGCUGGUGGAGGGACACAAGCGGGGUGACAUUCUGGCGAUGUUCCUGGGCUGUGAGGCUGUGGGGGUCGCCCCCUCUCCCCAAGGCCAGGCUGGCGGGGAGGCGGAGGUGAGCCCACGCGGGAGGCCAGCCUCCGAGAAGCGGGGCAGCCAGCCGGCCUGGAGGGCCGAGGUCAGAGAGUCGGGAACGACGGUGUCCAGAUGCAUGGUUGUGGAAGCCACUCGCGGGGGGUGUCGCGGACUUUCCCGGAACGGGCUCUGUCCUGUCCUUUCCAAAAAAGCGAAAAAACUUACGCAAGCUGGAAACGAAAAGACCUUUCCUCUGGGACAGGGAGGAGAGCGCACAGAGGCCCGGGAGGCGCCGGGGCGUGUGUUUGGGGGGCUAGACCAGACCUUUCCGUCCCUCUCUCCCUCCAUCCCCCCCCAUCAUAAAGGCGUUGACAUCAGAGGUCAAGGCCGGAGUGUCCGCUGAGCUCCGGGCCUGCUCGGACUCCGCCCCGAGGCUGCCCUUUCCUGUGGCCACCUCCUCUCUUGCCCUGGGAGCCGCAGGACUGUCAGCCCCCGCCCCGUGGACAGGCCUGCUGCUCUUACCAUCAUGAUGCCCACCUGUGUCUGACGGGGGAGGUGCUGCCCGGCCCUGCCUUUCUGGGGCCCGCCAUCACCCACAGACACAGCGAGACCACCAGCUCCUGACCACAGAGAGGUCACUCGUGCCUUCACCAAAGGAGUGUCCCCGCGGGCACCCCCGGGUGGGCCCUGGGAUCUCAGGUGACAGCCCACAGCUCCUCUGGGCCUUCCUCUGCCCUGGGAGGGGUCUAGGGUGUGCAUCCUGGGGUGGGUCUUGGGGACAGGACGGCCGUGCUGGACAGGACGGCAGGCACCUGGGCGGGUGAUUCUGUGCUCACACACGAUGGUCACUGUGCACGCCUGGCCUUGGUGGCCCCGGGACCGUCACGGCCAUGUCGGAGGCUAACCCAGAAAGCCCUGGUUGGCUUAAACGCGUGGCUGACGCAUCCUGGCAGACUGGAGAUCAAGCCCGCGCUGUGGGAGCCACCGAAGGACUCUAAUGAGAGUGAUAGUCCAAAGUGGCUGCUUAGGGGAGGGUUCGAGGGUGGCCUAGAGUUUCCCGAGUUAAGGUGCCGCAGGACGUUUGAGCCACUCGGGUAGAGUGUCCCGCCAGUCUCGCCGUACAGCUCGGCCCAGGGUGUGUUUACGCACUAAGAGGGCUCGGGUGCCACCAAGUGGCCAUCCUGGGGACAUCAACGCCCGUCACCAUGGAGCCACCAGUAUCUUUUCCUUCUGUGGGAGCAAAUCUCUGCAUUUGAGUUCAAUCUUUCCGAUUUCAAAGUGAGGAAACCCACGAGAUGUCUUGCUUAGCAGUGAGCUGACACUUUCCCCUUGGGUUUGAAACUACUCAUUCUGUGCGCACGUCAGCUCCAGUCCUGCCAAUGCUUCUGGUAAGUCACUGAUUUCCUUCUUGCAUUAGGGUAACAGAGAGGGUGAGGCAUCCCUGUGCAGCGACACCAGAUCGUGAAACCCUGGAGGCCGAUCCGUCAUCGGUGUGGCUGGUGACUCCACCCGUGAGGUCCCGGAGCCACAUGCCCCCUGAGGCCCCGGAAGACACAGCCCUGAGCUGCUCCCGAGCCUGGCGCUUAAGGCGGGAAACAGACUUCAAUUUUUUAGAAGAUAGGGACGGGCCACGGAAAGGACCACAACAGGGCUGUCUAUGGGAGUGUGGGUCGUGGGGACUGGUGUUCUGUGAUGUGGAAAACCUUAAAUUUCCUCACUGCGUCCAGCCCCUGGACAAGUCCCUGGGACAGGCAGAGUCACCGCCCUCUGGGAGCCCAGCUGCCUCGAUGAUGACACUUCGCUAAGGGCAAAAGGCGAUCUUAGCUUAACCUCAUCCCGACCUCCGGGAUCCUGUGAGUGUCCUUUAUCGUGUAAAGGACAGGAAGGAAACUUCCUUCACCUCUACCCCCCAAGAUACAAGGUAGGAAAUCAGACUCCAAGCGUAAAGUCCCCUGAUACGCAUCUGAAAGGUCUCAUGACUGAGGGUUUGCUAAACGGUAAUACGUGACCUUUUCCCAACAACAGUGAGCCCUCUCGGGGCCCUGGAAACCUUGCUCCCAAAUCCCUUGGAGGCCUGUGCUGUCCCCAGCCCCCUCCCGACUUGGCGGUGGGUAAGCACUCGCUUCUCACAGCUCUUCCUGCCCACGGACCCGCCCCCGUGCUUUAAUAAAGCACCAAAGAUGUCUCAAGAAUUCUUUCAUGAGACUUUUUGUCGCACAGGGUUUCACGACUGUUUGGUCUGAACCCCAAUAUCUCCACAUCCAUCUGGAGUGGAACAGGUGUCCGUUGUCACAGCUCCCCACCCAAGCCCCGACCAGGCAGCUCAGCUGAAGGGUUUCUAAGGGAGCAGCUGACAAUUAGGCGGAAAGUGGGCAGUAGCAGAAUCUCCAAGGUGCCCCCCUGGCUAGUCGAGCAGAGCCGGGCUGUGAUUUGGAGGGAAAAAAAGGCUCCUUCCUACAAGGAACCCGUGGAGAAUGAGACAAGCAGAGGCCACUGUGUGCUGGGAGCCUUGCCUGGGCUUCUACGCAAAUUAGGAAGGGUUUAGCAUGGUUUUAGGGAUGCCCCACUCCGGAUUUUAAAAACUGGAGUUUUAAAAAAUCUCCAGACAGCAAGGUCAGUUGGGUGUAUUUGUGCGAAUCUAUUUCUGGGUCCUUUGCUCUGUUCUACUGAUCUGUGUGUCUGUGCCUCUGCAAAUACCACAGUCUUGAUUGAGUUGUAUCAUAAGAUUUAAAAUUUGACAGACUGUUUCCAUUUUAUUAUUUUUUCUACGUUAUUUUAGAUACUCUAGUACUUUGCCUUCCCAUAUGUAUCUUAGAAUAAUCUUAACUAUGUCUACAAAACACCCUCCUAGGAUUUUGAUAGGAAUGGUACUAAAAAACGUAUAUCAACUUGAGGAGAAUUGACGUCUCUGCUAUGUUGAGCCUUUCAACUCAUAAACACAAGCUUCCUGCGCUCUGAUGAGUAAGAGAGUUGGGAGCAGGUGUCCUUGCCACGUUCCUGAGUAUUCACCAUCCAUUCAUCACUGAUGAGAGUCUUCAUCAUUGCCCAAGAGAAAGCACGAGCAGGUGAGGGGCAGAGAGAGAGGGAGACCCAGAAUUGGAAGCAGCUCCAGGCUCCAAGCUGUCAGCACAGAGCCCGACGUGGGGCUCAAACUCACGAACCGAGAGAUCAUGACCUAAGCUGAAGUCGGACGCUCAACCGACUGAGCCCCCCAGGCAUCCCGAAAUAUAUUUAAAAAAAUCAAUUAAAAGUGCUUAUAUGCACAUGUCACCCUUAAUCUCUUAGCCAGUGAGUUUUUGAUAUUUCCUAAUAUGGAAAUGUCCUUCACUGUCUGGGUUAAAUCAUGAUGUAUUGAAUUCAUUGUUGGAUUCAGCCUGCUAAUAAAUUAUUCAGACAUUUGUCUUUGUUGCAAAAGGGAUGGUUGUCCUCUCCUUUCUUCUCUUGUGCCCUCAUCCCCCAGCUCUGUUAUAGGAGAAUCCAGCAAUUUCCCACCCAUCUAUGUCUACACCCUGGAACGACUGCAUGAUCCAGGAACCAUCUGAUGGCAGUGUGCUGGUUCAGAAGAUCUGGAGCUGUUUCUUAUUUUCUAUAGUUAUUGUUCUUUUAAAGCUUUCUUGGUAAAAAUUAAACAUAGAGAUGUCAUGCAACCCAGAAAUUCCACUUGUAGGUACUCACCUGAAGAAAAUGAAAACACUGAUUCCAAAAGAUACACGUACCCCACGAUCACGGCAGCACCAUUUACGAUGGCCAAGAUAUGGCAGCCGCCCAAAUGUCCUCCAUAGACGAACGGAUAAAGAAGAUGG